AGUGGCUUAAGGACAAGUCUCUUGAUGUCCUUGAGUGGCCCAGCCAGAGCCCGCCCGGACUUGAACCCAAUCAAACAUCUCUGGAGAGACCUGAAAAUAGCUGUGCAGCAACGCUCCCCAUCCAACCUGACAGAGCUUGAGAGGGUCUGUAGAGAUGAAUGGCAGAAACUCCCCAAAUAUGUAUAAAAACCAGUUUUUGCUUUGUCAUUAUGGGGUAUUGUGUAUAGAUUGAUGGGGGGAAAACUAUUGAAUACGUUUUAGAAUAAGGCUGUAACAUAGCAAAAUGUGGAAAAAGGCAAGGGGUCUGAACACUUUCCGAAGGCACAGUAUAUAAGGAUUUAGAGAAAACACUGCCAAAAUGUAAAUAAUCCCGAGAUGGCUUAUAUUUAAACCACACCAAUAGUAAGAAGUCACCCUCAAAGCACAAGAACAUUAAAAAUAGAUAUUAUGGUUGAAAAGACACUGAAAAUAUGUAUUUUGGUUGAAAUGACAUUGAAAUUAAAUUGACAAUACUUAUUUCAAAAACAUUUGCUCACUGGGUAACUUCACUCUUUUGCAAAUGUCCCUCUUUCCUCCCUGUCCUUUUCAUCCAAAGAGUGUAACUCUAAUCUGUGUGUGUGGGCUGAACAUGUCACAGUUCUUCCAUGGCCUGCUUAGUCACCAGACAUGUUCCCCACUGAACAUGUCACAGUUCUUCCAUGGCCUGCUUAGUCACCAGACAUGUUCCCCACUGAACAUGUCACAGUUCUUCCAUGGCCUGCUUAGUCACCAGACAUGUUCCCCACUGAACAUGUCACAGUUCUUCCAUGGCCUGCAUAUUCACCAGACAUGUUCCCCACUGAACAUGUCACAGUUCUUCCAUGGCCUGCAUAUUCACCAGACAUGUUCCCCACUGAACAUGUCACAGUUCUUCCAUGGCCUGCUUAGUCACCAGACAUGUUCCCCACUGAACAUGUCACAGUUCUUCCAUGGCCUGCAUAUUCACCAGACAUGUUCCCCACUGAACAUGUCACAGUUCUUCCAUGGCCUGCUUAGUCACCAGACAUGUUCCCCACUGAACAUGUCACAGUUCUUCCAUGGCCUGCAUAUUCACCAGACAUGUUCCCCACUGAACAUGUCACAGUUCUUCCAUGGCCUGCUUAGUCACCAGACAUGUUCCCCACUGAACAUGUCACAGUUCUUCCAUGGCCUGCAUAUUCACCAGACAUGUUCCCCACUGAACAUGUCACAGUUCUUCCAUGGCCUGCUUAGUCACCAGACAUGUUCCCCACUGAACAUGUCACAGUUCUUCCAUGGCCUGCAUAUUCACCAGACAUGUUCCCCACUGAACAUGUCACAGUUCUUCCAUGGCCUGCAUAUUCACCAGACAUGUUCCCCACUGAACAUGUCACAGUUCUUCCAUGGCCUGCUUAGUCACCAGACAUGUUCCCCACUGAACAUGUCACAGUUCUUCCAUGGCCUGCAUAUUCACCAGACAUGUUCCCCACUGAACAUGUCACAGUUCUUCCAUGGCCUGCAUAUUCACCAGACAUGUUCCCCACUGAACAUGUCACAGUUCUUCCAUGGCCUGCUUAGUCACCAGACAUGUUCCCCACUGAACAUGUCACAGUUCUUCCAUGGCCUGCUUAGUCACCAGACAUGUUCCCCACUGAACAUGUCACAGUUCUUCCAUGGCCUGCUUAGUCACCAGACAUGUUCCCCACUGAACAUGUCACAGUUCUUCCAUGGCCUGCUUAGUCACCAGACAUGUUCCCCACUGAACAUGUCACAGUUCUUCCAUGGCCUGCAUAUUCACCAGACAUGUUCCCCACUGAACAUGUCACAGUUCUUCCAUGGCCUGCUUAGUCACCAGACAUGUUCCCCACUGAACAUGUCACAGUUCUUCCAUGGCCUGCAUAGUCACCAGACAUGUUCCCCACUGAACAUGUCACAGUUCUUCCAUGGCCUGCUUAGUCACCAGACAUGUUCCCCACUGAACAUGUCACAGUUCUUCCAUGGCCUGCUUAGUCACCAGACAUGUUCCCCACUGAACAUGUCACAGUUCUUCCAUGGCCUGCUUAGUCACCAGACAUGUUCCCCACUGAACAUGUCACAGUUCUUCCAUGGCCUGCUUAGUCACCAGACAUGUUCCCCACUGAACAUGUCACAGUUCUUCCAUGGCCUGCUUAGUCACCAGACAUGUUCCCCACUGAACAUGUCACAGUUCUUCCAUGGCCUGCUUAGUCACCAGACAUGUUCCCCACUGAACAUGUCACAGUUCUUCCAUGGCCUGCAUAUUCACCAGACAUGUUCCCCACUGAACAUGUCACAGUUCUUCCAUGGCCUGCUUAGUCACCAGACAUGUUCCCCACUGAACAUGUCACAGUUCUUCCAUGGCCUGCAUAGUCACCAGACAUGUUCCCCACUGAACAUGUCACAGUUCUUCCAUGGCCUGCAUAUUCACCAGACAUGUUCCCCACUGAACAUGUCACAGUUCUUCCAUGGCCUGCUUAGUCACCAGACAUGUUCCCCACUGAACAUGUCACAGUUCUUCCAUGGCCUGCUUAGUCACCAGACAUGUUCCCCACUGAACAUGUCACAGUUCUUCCAUGGCCUGCUUAGUCACCAGACAUGUUCCCCACUGAACAUGUCACAGUUCUUCCAUGGCCUGCUUAGUCACCAGACAUGUUCCCCACUGAAUGUUUGGGAUGCCCUGGAUCGACUUUUAAGACAGCUCUUUCCAGUUCCAGACAAUAUCCAUCAACUUCACACAGCUAUUGAAGAGGAGUAAGACAACAUUUCACAGGCCACAAUCAACAGCAUGAUCAACUCUACGUGAAGGAGAUGUGUAGCGCUGCAUGAGUCAAAUGGUGGUCACGCCGGAUAUUGACUGGUUUUCUGAUCCACGCUGCUACCUUUUUAAGGUAUCUGUGACCAACAGAUGCAUAUCUGUAUUCCCAGUGAUGCAAAAUCCAUAAAUUAGGGCCUAAUUAAUUGAUUUAAAUGGACUGAUUUACUUAUAUGAACUGUAACUCAGUAAAAUCUUUGAAAUUGUUGCAUGUUGGGUUUAUAUAUUUUUGUUCGGUAUAUAUCUACUGGUACCUCAUCCACCCCAUGGAUAUUAUCCAUGUAAAAUGUUAAUUGUUACAUAUGUAAACCAAUGUUCUGAGUCUUUACAGUGAUCCUGUAGGCUGUGAUGACAAAGCCAAAGCUUUUCUGUUCAAAGCUCUUAAAACCAUAACCUUUACCUUAGGCCUACUGUGGGGAAUCCUGGACUGAAGAGGCUUCUACUAACUCCUCUUAAUACACACAAGCCACAAGCACUCACACAUACAACCACGCACACGCGCACACAC
rnacentral:lncRNA from 1 species